GUGGUUCUGUCCUGUGCGUGGUUUAUCUUACUCCCCGGGGCGAUAAUCUUUCCGAAGGGAGCUGUCCCUGUCCGGGCCGUGGUCCGGUUAUAUGGCGCCCACCUGUAUUAACAGGUUCCGGAGGAUAAUAUAUAAAGUACGGCAAAGACGGUUCCGCC
rnacentral:other from 1 species